rnacentral:lncRNA from 1 species
CUCUUUGCGAGCUCUGUGCUGCUGGCAAGCUGUUUUCCCACUGACAAGAGAGUUUUGAAGAUUUUGCAAACAUGGAAAUCCUUAAGGAAAUACAAAUCACCAAAAAUCUUACUCAGAAGAGAUAAGCACUGAUGUGGUGUGGAACAUUGGAUGUAGACAAAAGUGGAUGCAGAGAGACUAGUAAGGAGACUGUCAUAGUACUCCAGGGCAUGAGAUCAAGACUGAGUGUAAAGCAGAGGUGGCUUGCUGUUCUGAUGAUCAAGGCUGUGCUUCACGACUUGUGUGGAGCUAAUGAGGUGGUUUAAACGAGCUACUUCAACAGAAUCAUCAUAUUUAAUUAAUUUAUUUUAUUUUAAUUCAUUAAUUGUAAUGAAUUCUUUUCACUAUUGCUUGAGAGAGAAUGACAUAAAACAAUUGUUUUUU